UUUCGCAAUGCCCGAAAGGGUGACGAAGCGACGCCGCGCGCGGGAAGAAGGCCUUCGGGUUGUAAACCGCUGUCGGGAGUUAAGAAGUGCAAGGGUGUUAAUAGCAUCUUUGCUUGACUAAGGCUCCGGAGGAAGCCACGGCUAACUCUGUGCCAGCAGCCGCGGUAAUACAGAGGCGGCAAGCGUUGUUCGGAAUUAUUGGGCGUAAAGAGCACGUAGGCGGCUAUGCAAGUCGGUUGUGAAAGCCUUCCGCUCAACGGAAGAACGGCAUCCGAUACUGCAUGGCUCGAGUGCGGGAGGGGAGAGUGGAACUUCUGGUGGAGCGGUGAAAUGCGUAGAUAUCAGAAGGAACGCCGGCGGCGAAAGCGACUCUCUAGCCCGUAACUGACGCUGAGUGUGCGAAAGCUAGGGGAGCAAACGGGAUUAGAUACCCCGGUAGUCCUAGCCGUAAACGAUGGGCACUAAGUAGAGGGGUUUU
rnacentral:rRNA from 1 species